GUCGUGAGUUCGAUGAGUAGGGCGGGACACGUGACAUCCUGUCUGAAUAUGGGGGGACCAUCCUCCAAGGCUAAAUACUCCUGACUGACCGAUAGUGAACCAGUACCGUGAGGGAAAGGCGAAAAGAACCCCGGCGAGGGGAGUGAAAUAGAACCUGAAACCGUGUACGUACAAGCAGUGGGAGCACCUUCGUGGUGUGACUGCGUACCUUUUGUAUAAUGGGUCAGCGACUUAUAUUUUGUAGCAAGGUUAACCGUAUAGGGGAGCCGUAGGGAAACCGAGUCUUAACUGGGCGAAUAGUUGCAAGGUAUAGACCCGAAACCCGGUGAUCUAGCCAUGGGCAGGUUGAAGGUUGGGUAACACUAACUGGAGGACCGAACCGACUAAUGUUGAAAAAUUAGCGGAUGACUUGUGGCUGGGGGUGAAAGGCCAAUCAAACCGGGAGAUAGCUGGUUCUCCCCGAAAGCUAUUUAGGUAGCGCCUCGUGAACUCAUCUUCGGGGGUAGAGCACUGUUUCGGCUAGGGGGCCAUCCCGGCUUACCAAACCGAUGCAAACUCCGAAUACCGAAGAAUGUUAUCACGGGAGACACACGGCGGGUGCUAACGUCCGUCGUGAAGAGGGAAACAACCCAGACCGCCAGCUAAGGUCCCAAAGUCAUGGUUAAGU
rnacentral:rRNA from 1 species